UACGUAGGGUGCGAGCGUUAAUCGGAAUUACUGGGCGUAAAGCGUGCGCAGGCGGUUCGUGAUGUCUGAUGUGAAAGCCCCGGGCUCAACCUGGGAAUUGCAUUGGAAACUAGCGGGCUGGAGUGUGGCAGAGGGGGGUGGAAUUCCACGUGUAGCAGUGAAAUGCGCAGAUAUCAGGAGGAACACCGAUGGCGAAGGCAGGUCUCUGGGCCAUAACUGACGCUGAGAAGCGAAAGCAUGGGGAGCGAACAGG
rnacentral:rRNA from 1 species